CAGCUCUCCCUUCCCCUGAAAAAAACAAAAAACAAAAGGAAAAAACAUCCAGCAGUUUCCCAAAUCGCGCAUGCGCCGGCCGCCGCGGACCUCGCCGCCGUUACGGAGGUCCCCCUGACCGCGUCAUACGGCGAACCAGGAAACCCACAAUUGCAUCCGGGCCAGGCGGAGGCGAACCAAAACCGACCGAACCCCUGCCUGCUCCCCAGCCCGCGAGUCCCAAACCCGGAUCGAUUAGCCCCGAGCGCCGCCGCCGCCGCCGCCGCCGAGCACGAUGCUUGAUCUGGACACAGAAUGGAUCCGCAAGAUCUUCUCCGCCUCCUCCCAGCCCCCGCCGCUCCCUCCCCGCGACGCCGCGGCCCCUCCCCCGGCCUGGUUCCUGCUCGAGCCGCUCGGGUACAUCGCCGACCACGCGAACGCCACCUCCGCGGAGGCCUCCUCCAGCACGGGCCACACCGUCCGGGUCACCGUCUGCGCCACCGACCCGCUCGGCCUCUCCCACGUCUGCUUCCACUGCAACGGCCUCACCGACGCCGACUUCUCCGACCGGCCCACCGUCGUCUGCUCCGAGAAGGACCUCCUCGUCCUCUCGGUCGUCUUCAUCUACGGCCCCUACGCCAAGGAGGGCCUCAAGGAGUACUUCGUCUACAGGGCCGGGCCCGGCCCGCCGUCCCUCUACCUGCUCCCAGGCCCCUUCCCGCGCGUCCUCACCAAGGCCGACGUCGCGCUCCUCCCCCGCGACGACGGCGCGCAUUUCCUCAUCGCCGUCCUGUGCUUCACGCUCGGCCGCUGGGUCUAUGACCUCCAUGUGUUCUCUUCCACGACCUGGGCUUGGAGCGUCAAGGAGGUGGAGGGGGACGUAUCGCCUGGCGCCAAGGCCGCAGUGUCCCACAUUAUAGCUUCCAAGGUGAUCCUGCUCGGAGGAGGCACGGUGGGAUGGGUUGAUCUCUGGAGGGGGAUCGUGGUCUGCGACGUGCUCCAAGAAAAGCCCGUGCUGCGGUUCAUCCCGUUGCCCCCGCUGAUGCCUGGCCACAGGGAAGGCCCCAAGUCAUCCCCAUGGCCCAUUCGGAACGUCUCCUGCAGCGAUGGUUUGAUCAAGUAUGUCGAGGUAGAGAAACAUCAAAGGCGUGAUCCUGACGAGAGGCCGUUCGAUGACAUUGAUACGCUCUACGAGGGAGACUGCUUGGCGAAGCCCAAAGUAAUGGGCUGGAAGGCCAUGACAUGGUAUAGAAGGUUCUCUUGUGACCACUGGAGCAAGGGGUGUGUGGCUUUUGACAAGGAAAUAUCGAUUGACAGCCCGACGCGCUCUAUGUUGUUGCCUGACCUGACGGAUGAUGAUGCUGGAGAGUUGACACUAAAGGACAUGCUGGCAUCUUACCCUGUCCCAACCUUGGCAAGCCAUUGCGAUGAUGUCGUUUACAUGUUGUGUGAAUCGAAAUCUGGCAGCAAAAAGUCAUGGCUGAUCACUGUUGACCUGAAAAAGAAGAUACUGGUCGAAUUGGCACCGUUUCCUCUCGAAGGGUAUUACAACCCAGCCCACCCUUUUGAACUGUCCAGUUAUCUGAACGUAGCACCAGCAAAACACAAUUCAGUCGGCUGAGCAACUGGCGGCAAAAUUUAUGUGGCCAGGAGAUGUCACUGCCAAAUCUGUCGCAGAGGAAGCUACUUCAGAAGAACCCUGAGAAGGAGCUGGUGAGGACAUGUGUGGUGCUCGGGCACCAUACUCACCGUUCAGAACCCAACUCAAGCCUCCCUGCAACCGCAAACAUGGAGAUUUUUCUGGCAUGUCGAGCUCUGUUGACGUCUUCUGCAGUACUCUACUGUUCCCAUUUUAUUUACCGGGCUAUCCUGUGCUUUGCUGCCACGUAUUUGUGGCUAUUGUUUCUAUAUUACUCCCUCUGUCCCAUAAUAUAAGAAUGUUUUGCAAGCUAUCGUAAUAUAAGAAUGUUUUGCUUAUAUUAUGAUAGCUUUAAAAACAUUCUUAUGUCAUUGGAUGGAGGGAGCAUUAGUUUAGCUUUCUGUCCUAGUCCUGUGGUGUACACUGUUUUGGUUAAGUGGUUCUCCUAUUUGUAUAGAUCUUUUGUUUUGCUUUCCUAUAAGCUGGGUAAUGGAAAAACCUACGGUUGAGUAUUGAA